UACGUAGGGGGCAAGCGUUUGUCCGGAUUUAUUGGGCGUAAAGAGCGUGUAGGCGGCUUGGUAGGUCUUGCGUCAAAACCUGAGGCUCAACCUCAGUUCGCGUGGGAAACCAUCUGACUAGAGUCCGGAAGAGGAGAGUGGAAUUCCCUGAUGUAGCGGUGAAAUGCGCAGAUAUCAGGAAGAACACCCGUGGCGAAGGCGGUCGUCUGGUACGUACGCGACUG
rnacentral:rRNA from 1 species